GUAGCUUGCUACUUGACCUAGCGGCGGACGGGUGAAGUAAUGCUUAGGAAUCUGCCUAUUAGUGGGGGACAACAUCUCGAAAGGGAUGCUAAUACCGCAUACGUCCUACGGGAGAAAGCAGGGGACCUUCGGGCCUUGCGCUAAUAGAUGAGCCUAAGUCGGAUUAGCUAGUUGGUGGGGUAAAGGCCUACCAAGGCGACGAUCUGUAGCGGGUCUGAGAGGAUGAUCCGCCACACUGGGACUGAGACACGGCCCAGACUCCUACGGGAGGCAGCAGUGGGGAAUAUUGGACAAUGGGGGGAACCCUGAUCCAGCCAUGCCGCGUGUGUGAAGAAGGCCUUUUGGUUGUAAAGCACUUUAAGCGAGGAGGAGGCUACCGAGAUUAAUACUCUUGGAUAGUGGACGUUACUCGCAGAAUAAGCACCGGCUAACUCUGUGCCAGCAGCCGCGGUAAUACAGAGGGUGCAAGCGUUAAUCGGAUUUACUGGGCGUAAAGCGCGCGUAGGUGGCCAAUUAAGUCAAAUGUGAAAUCCCCGAGCUUAA
rnacentral:rRNA from 1 species